CUGCAGUCAAUUAAGCUGACUGGGUUCCUUGCUGGUGGGUGCCCAGUGUGCAGUGGCUGUGGACAGCAAGCUCUUCGAUUGUGUACACAGCUUGUUGCUUGUACUGACUGCCCUAAGGGACCUUGGAGAUACUC
rnacentral:snoRNA from 1 species